rnacentral:rRNA from 1 species
GACAGAGGCCUCAAGCGUUAGGCGGAAUCACUGGGCUUAAAGCGUGUGUAGGCGGAUCGUUAAGUGUCUUGUGAAAUCCCACGGCUCACCCGUGGAACUGCUGGGCAUACUGGCGAUCUUGGGCCAACUAGGGGCAACUGGAACAAGCGGUGGAGCGGUGAAAUGCGUAGAUAUCAUUUGGAACGCCAAUGGUGAAAACAGCUCGCUGGGGGUGCACUGACACUGAGACACGAAAGCCAGGGGAGCGAACAGG